rnacentral:rRNA from 1 species
AACGAACGCUGGCGGCAGGCUUAACACAUGCAAGUCGAGCGCCCCGCAAGGGGAGCGGCAGACGGGUGAGUAACGCGUGGGAAUCUACCCUUUUCUACGGAAUAACGCAGGGAAACUUGUGCUAAUACCGUAUAAGCCCUUCGGGGGAAAGAUUUAUCGGGAAAGGAUGAGCCCGCGUUGGAUUAGCUAGUUGGUGGGGUAAAGGCCUACCAAGGCGACGAUCAAUAGCUGGUCUGAGAGGAUGAUCAGCCACAUUGGGACUGAGACACGGGCCAAACUCCGACGGGAGGCAGCAGUGGGGAAUAUUGGACAAUGGGGGAAACCCUGAUCCAGCCAUGCCGCGUGAGUGAUGAAGGCCUUCGGUUUGUAAAGCUCUUUUGUCAGGGAAGAUGAUGACUGUACCUGAAGAAUAAGCCCCGGCUAACUUCGUGCCAGCCGCCGCGGUAAUAC